GGCCCCACACCAUCCUGGAUAAAAUAGAGGAAGAAGAAGAAGGUCUCUCUCGCAAGAGCGCUCGCAUGUGUCUCAAUCCCAUUCAGGACAGACAAUGUCC